rnacentral:tRNA from 1 species
GCCUGGCUAGUAGGGUGGAUAUGACCCUCGGCUUGUAACCGAGUGGGCUCGGGUUCGAAUUCCGAAUAAGGCA